UUUGCUUCUCUGAAUCUCAGCCUCCUCAUCUGUCAAACGGGAAUGAGAACACUACCACCUCCCCCAAAGGACCGUCUGGAAAACCUAAGACGCACAUCUACUUGGACACAGUAUGCCUGUGCUGUCUCUAGGGCUGAACCACGACCCGGUUUCCUUUCAGUCUGGGAAGAGGCAGCAGUGGGAGGCAGAGCAGCCAUGGUUCAAGUG
rnacentral:lncRNA from 1 species